GAGGUUAAGCGACUAAGCGUACACGGUGGAUGCCCUGGCAGUCAGAGGCGAUGAAGGACGUGCUAAUCUGCGAUAAGCGCCGGUAAGGUGAUAUGAACCGUUAUAACCGGCGAUUUCCGAAUGGGGAAACCCAGUGUGACUCGUCACACUAUCAUUAACUGAAUCCAUAGGUUAAUGAGGCGAACCGGGGGAACUGAAACAUCUAAGUACCCCGAGGAAAAGAAAUCAACCGAGAUUCCCCCAGUAGCGGCGAGCGAACGGGGAGGAGCCCAGAGCCUGAAUCAGCAUGUGUGUUAGUGGAAGCGUCUGGAAAGGCGCGCGAUACAGGGUGACAGCCCCGUACACAAAAGCGCAUGUGCUGUGAGCUCGAUGAGUAGGGCGGGACACGUGGUAUCCUGUCUGAAUAUGGGGGGACCAUCCUCCAAGGCUAAAUACUCCUGACUGACCGAUAGUGAACCAGUACCGUGAGGGAAAGGCGAAAAGAACCCCGGCGAGGGGAGUGAAAAAGAACCUGAAACCGUGUACGUACAAGCAGUGGGAGCACCCUUUGGGGUGUGACUGCGUACCUUUUGUAUAAUGGGUCAGCGACUUAUAUUCUGUAGCAAGGUUAACCGAAUAGGGGAGCCGGAGGGAAACCGAGUCUUAACCGGGCGUUAAGUUGCAGGGUAUAGACCCGAAACCCGGUGAUCUAGCCAUGGGCAGGUUGAAGGUUGGGUAACACUAACUGGAGGACCGAACCGACUAAUGUUGAAAAAUUAGCGGAUGACCUGUGGCUGGGG
rnacentral:rRNA from 1 species